GAUACAACCAACAGCAAAUGGACUCGGUCUCCUGGACUUAACCGCCUGAAGUUUCUGCCAGAUUCACCCACCAGAAAUAAUUUUCUAUUUGAAAUGAAUGUCAGCAAUUCUCUAUUGAAGCUAACACCGGUGACCUGCAAAUGGGGAACAAAGUUUGCCAUACUGAUACGCCAAAUCUUUCAUGACGUCAAUAAGGCAACAUCCACACUGUUUGGUUAAAAGACCGUCUUCCAGGACCCUGGUUGUGCAGAGGAAGCUGUGGUUUUCCUAGUGAAGUGACUGUGCUUGUGUCAGCCAGCCUCUCCACGGAGGGUCCGAAGCUGCUGAGCAGAGGGCUCUCCGGACAGACAGCAGUGAAACGCUAGCAGGUGCAGCCUCACCAGCAGAUGAGAUUCCUUUUGCCUGGAAAUCUCUCUCCCCAAAGAGGCCACAACUGCCACCUUCUCCUCAUUCAAACCUGAGAUCAAGGGGCACCUUCUCCCAGAAGCCGCCAGUGGUGCAUCCUGGUACUCUUGCAUUUGCUUUUUAGCAUGUAACACUCUUUGUUAAGAAGCCUAG